rnacentral:rRNA from 1 species
GCCUAACACAAACCCAACCACCCCAUCAAACAAUCUACACUAAACUAAAACAAACCAUUUGACAAUAGUAGUAUUUGAGAAAGAAACUAAAAUUGGCGUUUUUAUUAAACCGUAAGGGUUAAUUGAAAGAACUAAAUGAAAUACUUUAAGCAAAACAAAGCAAAGAUAAACCCUUGUACCUCUUGCAUCAUGAUUUAACAAGAAUACAUCAGACAAAGUGCCCUUAAGCCUGCUUUCCCGAAACUAUGUGAGCUACUUUAAGGCAAUAUUAGAAUCAACUCGUCCCUGUGGCAAAAGGGUGAGAAGACCUUAAAGUAGAGGUGAAAAGCC